rnacentral:lncRNA from 1 species
UUUUCAUCUUAUAAAAUGGUCUAUGGUCCAUACCCUUAAACACAAAUCACUUGCUUGGUCUUGGAGCUUGUCAUGCCACUCUCUUUUGAACUUUUCACCCAACUCUUUUUCUCCUGCAAAACUUGAAUUACCUUCCGCCAAACCUUGUUUUUCAAGUCUCUAGAGGUACAUAAAUGUAUACUUUGCUUCUUCUUCUUCUUUUUUUUACUUAACUCAAACUUCUAUGUGCUACUUUUAUUUAAUGCUUUGAGUGAAACCAGGUAACAUACUUUGGGAAAACCAUGAAUGGCGGAAAUGGAACCACUCCAACAAUGGUGUCACCACCUUCACCACAUAGCUCAUGUGGGUCCACUAAGCCCAACCAAGAGGACAACAAUAACAACAACAAUGAAGACGAAAAUAACAACAAAAACAACGGCGGCGAUGACAACAACCACAACAACAAUCACAACAACAACAUCAUCAUCAUCAUCAACAACAACAACAACAACAACAAUAACAACAAUGGUGACAACAACAACAACAACAAUGGCGACAACAACAACAGCCACCACCACC